rnacentral:lncRNA from 1 species
CAAGAACUUAAAACCUCUUCAACUCACACCUGACCUAAACCCAAACGCCUUAUUUUCUUCUGCAAUGCCGCUUGACAAACUCGACAGUGGUUCCAAAUAGCCAGAAAAUGGCACUUUCAAUUUUUCCAUCCUACAAGAUCUAAAUAAUUCUUGUCCUAAAAUAGGCAAACAGUCUGAGGUGCCUGACGUCCAGACAUUCUUUUACACAUUGUCCCCUCCCUAGUCUCUGUUCCCAGUGCGACUCGUCCCAAAUCCUCCUCCCUUCCCUCUCACCUGUCCCCUCAGUCCCAACCCCAGGCGUCGCUGAGUCUUUCUAAUCUUCCUUUUCUACAGACCCAUCUGACCUCUCCCCUCCUCCCCAGGCUGCUCCUCGCCAGGCCGAGCUAGGUCCCAAUUCUUCCUCAGCCUCCGCUCCUCCACCCUGUAAUCCGUUCAUCACCUCCCCUCCUCACACCCGGUCUGGGUUACAGUUUCGUUCCUUGACUGGCCCUCCCCCACCUGCCCAGCAAUUUCCUCUUAAAAACAUGGCUGGAGCUAAAGGCAUAGUCAAGGUUAAAGCUCCUUUUUCUUUAUCCGACCUCUCCCAAAUCAGUUAGCAUUUAGGCUCUUUUUCAUCAAAUAUAAAAAUCCAGCCCAGUUCAUGACUUGUUUGGCAGCAACCCUGAGACGCUUUACAGCCCUAGACCCUAAAAGGUCAAAAGGCCGUCUUAUUCUCAAUAUACAUUUUAUUACCCAAUCCGCUCUCGACUUUAAAUAAAGCUCCAAAAAUUAAAUUCCGGCUCUCAAACCCCACAACAGGACUUAAUUAACCUCGCUUUCAAGAUGUACAAUAAUAGAAAAAAGUUGCAAUUCCUUGCCUCCACUGUGAGACAAACCCCAGCCACAUCUCCAGCACACAAGAACUUCCAAACGCCUAAACCGCAGUGGCCAGGCGUUCCUCCAGGCCCGCCGCCCCCAGGAGCUUGCUACAAGUGCCAGAAAUCUGGCCACCAGGCCAAGGAAUGCCCGCAGCCCGGGAUUCCACCUAAGCCGCAUCCCAUCUGUGUGGGACCCCACUGAAAACUGGACUGUUCAACUCACCUGGCAGCCACUCCCAGAGCCCCUGGAACUCCAGCCCAAGGCUCUCUGACUCCUUCUCAGAUCUUCUCGGCUUAGCGGCUGAAGACUGACACUGCCUGAUGGCCUCGGAAGCCCCCCUAAACCAUCACGGACGCCGAGCUUUGGCUAACUCUCACAGUGGAAGGUUUGUGAACAUCCACGUGCAGAGAUUGGAUCUAUGGAAACGGCACUGCUCCAGAGACUGCGCUGAACCAGCAAAGAAUGAACUGUGAUAACAAGCAGGGAGCUCUGUCCCUGAGAACGCCUCACAGAAAGACUGAAACCACAGUUGCUGACCUGAGAGGGGAGCAGGAGGUGGAAACUGGAAGGCAGUAGUCUAACAUGAGAGCUGAAGAGGCUACACAGAGAUGGGAAGAUCUCCUAAUGCACUGAUCAUUUGUUGUCUCACAUGGUUAGGUAGAUUAUCAUACCACCUGCAAAUAAUUACAGUUUUGUCUUUUUCUUCCCCAUACUUAUACCUCUCAUUUUAAAAUUUAUUUUGUAUCAUUUUGUCUAGGGACCUCAGUACAAUUUUAAAUAAUCAUGGUUACAAUAACCAAAUGUAUCCAGCUUAGAUGGAAAUGUCAGUGUUUCAACAUAAAGUAUUUAUUAUAGAUUAAGUAUUUAUUAUAGAUGGCAGCAGAUACCCUUAUCAAAUUCAAAAAGGUUGGUUCUAGUGCCAAUUGACUUAGAGUUUUUCUUUCUUUCUUUCUUUUUUGUUUUUGGUUUAAAAUUAGGAGUGUAUCAGUUUGUCAGGGUUCUCCAGAGAAACAUAACCAAGAAGAUGGAUGAUGGAUAGAUGGAUGGAUGGAUGGAUGGAUGGAUGGAUGGAUGGAUGGAUGGAUGGAUAGACAGGCAGGCAGGCGGAUGGAUGGAUGGAUAGAUAGAUAGAUAGAUAGAUAGAUAGAUAGAUAGAUAGAUAGAUAAAUUUUAAGGAACUGGCUUACACCAUUGCAGAAGCUGGCAAAUCCAAAAUCUGCAGGGUAGGCUUGCAGGUUGGAGAGUCACGGAAGACCCAAUGCAGCAGUUUGAGCUUGAAAGUGGUCUGCUGGGAGAAUGUCUUCUUCCUCUGGGGAGGUCAGUCUUUUUUCUCUUAAGACUUCCAACUGAUUGAAUGAGGCCUACCCACAUUACAACAGCUGACAUUGCACAACAUAAAG